rnacentral:rRNA from 1 species
AAUCUGGCGUGCUCAGUGCGUCCGAGUUGUAAUCUAUAGAGUCGUUUUCCGUGCCGGACUGUGUCCAAGUCCCUUGGAACAGGGUAUCAAAGAGGGUGAUAAUCCCGUACUUGACACAAUGACCGGUGCUCUGUGAUACGUCUUCUACGAGUCGAGUUGUUUGGGAAUGCAGCUCAAAAUGGGUGGUGAGUUCCAUCUAAAGCUAAAUAUUGGCGAGAGACCGAUAGCGAACAAGUACCGUGAGGGAAAGAUGAAAAGCACUUUGGAAAGAGAGUUAAACAGUACGUGAAAUUGUUAAAAGGGAAACGAUUGAAGUCAGUCGUGACUGAGAGGCUCAGCCGGUUCUGCCGGUGUAUUCCCCUCAGUCGGGUCAACAUCAGUUUUGUUCGGUGGAUAAGGGCAGUUGGAAGGUGGCACCCUCGGGUGUGUUAUAGCCAGCUGUCGCAUACAUCGGAUGAGACUGAGGAAUGCAGCUCGCCUUUAUGGCCGGGGUUCGCCCACGUUCGAGCUUAGGAUGUUGACAUAAUGGCUUUAAACGACCCGUCU